UGUUGGCUGGUCUCAAGGUUACAAGUUUCUCAAGUGGAUCCCUGCCUGCCAAUCCUGAAAUCAUCAGUUAUCUAUUGAGGGACUAGAAGUUUCAGCUCAGAUAAAACAGUUUUCUCUGCUUCCAUUGAUCACUUCAGUUUUGACUCUCCUAUGUUGGAUGCUUCUCCUCAGUUGCUGUAACAAACUCAUCUGCUUGUUUGAAUCUGACUGUUUGCCUCCUUGACCAGCUGUGACAGAAGACCAGCCCACAAACUUAACCUUAUGAAGAAGGACCUGGCAUUCAUCAAUCUGCCUCAGGGUGGCGGUUGCAACCAGUUGAGAAUCACCAGAUUCAUUUUUCAGAAUGGCUGGGAACUCAAACUAUGUCCAAGAGUUCAUUAACUGCAUCCCCUGGGCAGCCGGGGAUGACCUCACUUUAAUGGAGAGCUUUUUGAUCGGGCUUGAUGAUGGGAUCCGGCUCGUUAUGCCCAUGGCCGAUUCGUGUUGGAUGCUGGAGUCCUAUAUGAACGUCGCCCUCUGGAUAGUUGAAUCAACAUUCACCGUAAGUGAAGUGGCUGCUGACCAAGUCAUCACCCAUCAUGGCCACUAGUACUUAGUCAUUACCACCCAUUGCCGCUGGUCCUAUGUCCUCGCCCAUCAAGUCUGCUGAUCCCAAGCUCUCACCUGUCAUGGCUGCCAUCCCAUAGCCUUUCUCAGUGUCCAGUCCAACCCGUGAGUUUCAGUCCCAGAAUCCAAAAGUUAGCUCGCUCCAGUGCCAGCUCCAGCCCCAGAGCAUACUCCAAUGCUGGCUCAAUUUUCUAAAGCGCCCUCCAGUGCCUGUUCCUCGUAAGUGCAUUCCAGAGUGCCCUUCAGUGCCCGCUCCUCAAACACCUUCCAGAGUUUGCUCCAGUGUCGGCAAAGCCCAGGAUGGGCUCCUGUUAUAGUUCAUCCCAGGAGGGCCUCCUGAUACCCAGUUCAGCCCCGUACACAUUUCAGCCAUCCACCAGAGUCUGGUGAAGGCUCCAGGCCCAGACCAGAGUCCCAGAGAAUCCAGAUCUCUAGUUUCAGCCAGGAGUGCCAUUCCCUGCUAAAGUGAAUCCUGCUCCUUUGUCUCGCCCAGGAGGGCUGUUCUCAGUCUCUGUGGAUCCAGUUCCCCAGUUUUGGCCAGGAGUGCCAUUCCCAGUGGAUCCAUUUCUUGUCAUGAUCAGCUGUGCCAGUCUGUCAACUCCACUUGUCAUGUCCAGAAGAGCAGUUUCUUCAAUGGAGGUCAAAUCCCUAACCCCGACUCCUGUACUCUUAAGGGCUCGGCUCUAACUUGGUUACCCUUGUCUCUGCCAUGGAUGCUCAUUCUGCCUGCUCCACCAUGGCUCCCGCUCUCUCCACCAAGGUCCCAAUACGGUGUGAGGACCCCUGUGGGGAGUACUCUCACCAGCUCAGUAAUACAUUUUCCAUGAGCCUGUCUGUUUCACACCUGCACCUUGUCCCUAAUCAGCAUACCUGUUACUGAUUACCUCAUUUCCCCAUGCUAUAUAUACACCAAUCACUCGUCGGCUGGUCUCAAGGUUAUAAGCUUCUCAAGAGGAUACCCUGUCUGCCUGUUGAUCCUGGAGUCCUCAGCUAUCUAUUGAAGGACUAGAAGUUUUAGCUCAAAUAAGACUUUUCUCUGCUUCCAUUGAUCACUUAAGUUUUGACUCCUAUGUUGGAAGCUUCUCCUCAGUUGCCGUAAUAAACUCACCUGCUUCUUUGAAUCUGCCGGUUUGCCUCCUUGACCAACUGUAACAUACAAAAGCAAUUAAAGUGCCUGUAAGAAAAAUGGAAUCGAGAUAUUCUUGGUUUCUCUCACUCUCUGAUCACAUACAAUUGUCUAAUAUUAUGUAUGUACCCCCUUGUAUUGCAAGAUAUUCAACG
ensembl:lncRNA